GUUUGUUCCUAUUUUAGAAAUUCAGUGUGAGCUAAUUUUGAAAAAUAUUUUUUAAUUAAUUUUACUACCGAAAUAUCUCAUAAAAUGAGCCAUAUCUUUUUUAGUAUUUUACGUCAGCGGAUUAAUAAUAUUAUACAUAUAUUCCUAAAAAUUUAACGCCCUUUUAAUUUUAAGUUGUUGUCUAAACCAUUUAACAAACAAAUACUAUUCAAUUCCAUAAAUUUUCAAUUAAAAAAAAAAAAAAAAAACUAUUCCAAAGGAAAUCAAAUAAAAAAAAAUUCGGUACAAAAUUUAUGUUAAAAACGUUCUCAAUUCAAUUCAUUGCAUGAUGCAAAUUUCACUCUUAUUUUGUGUGUGAACUUUGUACUGGGGCGCAUUGUGAUUGUGUGUAUGUUGUAUGAUGAUGGCGAAUGGUGAUGCAACAAUGACUUGCUGCUGCUGCUGGGCUGUAUUGUAUAGUGUAGGUAGUUUGUGGUGUAAAGGCAAAAUUAAUACAGCUGUGACAGUCACAUAAUAGAUUUUCCAUGCCCAUGCCAUCCACAGAAUUGAUUUAUGUUCAAUUUUUCACAAUUUUCCUAUAUAUAUGUGAGUUUGCUCGGUCGGUACAUUGUACAAUGUACAAUUGAAUGCAUGGUGUAAAUUUUUUUUUUUUUUUAAUUUUCAAUUCGCUGCACGACACAAUUCCACACAUUUUGUAUUUUAUAAUUUUUUUUAAAGUCAUUGUUGUUUUUUUUUUUUGUUGUAUGUAGUAGGUUGUGUCUUUUCUUUUCCCUUACAAAAAAAAAAAUUUAUUGUGUUGUCAUUUGGCUUUUGUUAGUUUAAUUCAAUUUAAGUUGGUGGUCGUUGUUGGGUUGGUUUGUGUCGUCGUCGUUGUGUCUACUAAAGAAUAAAAAGCUAUCACACUCUGAAUGUAUGUAAACCAAACGAAAUCACAAAUUGGAUUAAUUGGAUACAAAAAUAAAAUCUGACAUGCGGUACGUAAUGUUAUAUGGAGUUCUUUGGAAUAUAAUCAAAAUUAUUUAAUUGGAUAUACCAUAUAAAAAUGCACAAAUUGUAAGUUUUAAUUUAAUAAACUUAUACCGAUAUAUACCUCAAUACAUAGUUGGCUUAAACGCUUCUAAAGAUAUGUGUGAUUAUUUGACCCUGUUGUAAAUAUAUUUUUUUUUCUAUUUAGAUAAGCUAUUGAUCAAAAUUUGUCCCAUAGAAAGUAGAAUAUUGACACACAUAUCUGUUUCCCAAAUUUCAAAAAUAAUCAAAUUUGAUAUUAUUUAUGCUCUAAAAUUUUGUUUUCAUUUCUAUAUUGAUAUUUUAUUGAGAAAUUAAGAAAUCAAUAGAUUAUAAAAAAUAAAAAAAAAAUAGAGAAUUGAUUAUACUUGAUGUGAAAAUGUUUAAACAACGACAUUUAUCAAGUAAUAACAUUAAAAUUCCUAAGGAAAUUUAAGCGAAAAAAUAACAUAGUAACCAUAUUAUUAAAAAUUAAAUAAAACGUUACCAUUGCACUCGAAAAGGCAAACUUUAAGUGAAUACUGUGCUUAGAUGGAUCCCUAAAGACUUUUAUAAACCAGACGUAAGCCAAACAAGAUCUAUAUCUUGUUGCAACAAUUUUUUGAAGGUAUUAUGUAUACUUACUUAGAAAACUGCAUUUUUAAUUCAAUUUCCUUCGGAAAUAGAGCAAUAAGAUCUGCAAGGAUCUCAGAUAUAUACAUCCAAAUUAAAGACCAAGAUA